rnacentral:rRNA from 1 species
CCUUCGGGUACAAUUUGAGACAGGUGGUGCAUGGUUGUCGUCAGCUCGUGUCGUGAGAUGUUGGGUUAAGUCCCGCAACGAGCGCAACCCUUGCCUUUAGUUGCCAGCACGUUCGGCUGGGGACUCUAAAGGAACUGCCUACGCAAGUAGUGAGGAAGCGGGGAUGACGUCAAAUCAGCACGGCCCUUACGUCCAGGGCUACACACGUGCUACAAUGGCCGAUACAGAGGGCAGCUACCUGGUGACAGGAUGCAAAUCUCCAAAGUCGGUCUCAGUUCGGAUCGGAGUCUGCAACCCGACUCCGUGAAGUUGGAUUCGCUAGUAAUCGCGCAUCAGCCAUGGCGCGGUGAAUACGUUCCCGGGCCUU